rnacentral:rRNA from 1 species
AUUGAACGCUGGCGGCAGGCCUAACACAUGCAAGUCGAGCGAGCGCCGGACGGGUGAGUAAUGCCCAGGAAUCUGCCUCUUCGUGGGGGAUAACUACUGGAAACGGUACCUAAUACUGCAUACUAUCGGCUUUGCCCAGAUGGGAUUAGUUUUUAGUUGGGGUAACGGCUCACCUAGGCGACGAGCCCUAGCUGGUCUGAGUGGAUGACGACCCACACUGGAACUGAGACACGGUCCAGACUCAUACGGGAGGCAGCAGUGGGGAAUAUUGGACAAUGGGCGCAAGCCUGAUCCAGCCAUACCGCGUGGAUGAAGAAGGCCUUCGGGGUGUAAAGUCCUUUCAGCGUGGAGGCGUUACCCGAAGAAGAAGCACCGGCUAACUCCGUGCCAGCAGCCGCGGUAAUUC